rnacentral:rRNA from 1 species
GACGAACGCUGGCGGCGUGCCUAAUACAUGCAAGUCGAACGCAGUGGGGACGGGUGAGUAACACGUGGGUAACCUCCCAUCAGAGGGGAUAACACUUGGAAACAGGUGCUAAACCGAUACUGAUGGAUGGACCCGCGGGGCAUUAGCUAGUUGGUGAGGUAACGGCUCAACAAGGCCACGAUGCAUAGCCGACCGGAGAGAGUGAUCGGCCAGACUGGGACUGAGAAAAGGCCCAGACUCCUACGGUAGGCAGCAGUAGGGAAUCUUAGGCAAUGGACGAAAGUCGGACCGAGCAACGCCGGGGGAGUGAAGAAGGUUUUCGGAUCGUAAAUCUCUGUUGUUAGAGAAGCGGUAUCUAACCAGAAAGCCACGGCUAACUACGUGCCAGCCGCCGCGGUAAUAC